UGCAGUCGAGCGGAACGAGUUAUCUGAACCUUCGGGGAACGAUAACGGCGUCGAGCGGCGGACGGGUGAGUAAUGCCUAGGAAAUUGCCCUGAUGUGGGGGAUAACCAUUGGAAACGAUGGCUAAUACCGCAUGAUGCCUACGGGCCAAAGAGGGGGACCUUCGGGCCUCUCGCGUCAGGAUAUGCCUAGGUGGGAUUAGCUAGUUGGUGAGGUAAGGGCUCACCAAGGCGACGAUCCCUAGCUGGUCUGAGAGGAUGAUCAGCCACACUGGAACUGAGACACGGUCCAGACUCCUACGGGAGGCAGCAGUGGGGAAUAUUGCACAAUGGGCGCAAGCCUGAUGCAGCCAUGCCGCGUGUGUGAAGAAGGCCUUCGGGUUGUAAAGUACUUUCAGUCGUGAGGAAGGUAGUGUAGUUAAUAGCUGCAUUAUUUGACGUUAGCGACAGAAGAAGCACCGGCUAACUCCGUGCCAGCAGCCGCGGUAAUACGGAGGGUGCGAGCGUUAAUCGGAAUUACUGGGCGUAAAGCGCAUGCAGGUGGUUUGUUAAGUCAGAUGUGAAAGCCCGGGGCUCAACCUCGGAAUAGCAUUUGAAACUGGCAGACUAGAGUACUGUAGAGGGGGGUAGAAUUUCAGGUGUAGCGGUGAAAUGCGUAGAGAUCUGAAGGAAUACCGGUGGCGAAGGCGGCCCCCUGGACAGAUACUGACACUCAGAUGCG
rnacentral:rRNA from 1 species